GUUGGGGUAGGGUUAGGAUUAGGGGUAUGGUUAGUGGUUGGGGUAGGGGUAGGGUUAGGGGUUGGGGUAGGGUAAGUGGAUAGAGUAGGGUUAGGGUUAGGGUAACCCUAACCUUACCCUAACCCCAACUGUACUCCUAGCCCUACCCUAACCCUACCCCUAACCCUACCCCAAACCCCACCUCUACUCUAACACUACCCUAAACCCUACCCUAACCCCUAUCUCUAACCCUAACUCUAUCCUUAACCCUACCUCUAACCCUACCCCUAACCCUAAACCAACCCUAACCCUACCCUAACCCUAACCUAACCCUAUCCAUAAC